rnacentral:rRNA from 1 species
UACAGAGGUCCCAAGCGUUGUUCGGAUUCACUGGGCGUAAAGGGUGCGUAGGUGGCCCGGUCAGUUCGUGGUGAAAGCGCGGGGCUCAACCCUGCGUCGGCCAUGAAUACUGCCGCGGCUGGAGCACUGUAGAGGCAGGCGGAAUUCCGGGUGUAGCGGUGGAAUGCGUAGAGAUCCGGAAGAACACCGGUGGCGAAGGCGGCCUGCUGGGCAGUUGCUGACACUGAGGCGCGACAGCGUGGGGAGCAAACAGG